rnacentral:rRNA from 1 species
UACGUAGGGUGCGAGCGUUAAUCGGAAUUACUGGGCGUAAAGCGUGCGCAGGCGGUUUUGUAAGCCAGAUGUGAAAUCCCCGAGCUUAACUUGGGAACUGCAUUUGGGACUGCAAGGCUAGAGUACGGCAGAGGGGGGUAGAAUUCCUGGUGUAGCAGUGAAAUGCGUAGAUAUCAGGAGGAAUACCGAUGGCGAAGGCGGGUCUCUGGCCACACCCUGACGCUGAGGCGCGAAAGCGUGGGGAGCAAACGGG